rnacentral:rRNA from 1 species
CACGUAGGGCGCAAGCGUUGUCCGGAAUUAUUGGGCGUAAAGAGCUCGUAGGCGGUCUGUUGCGUCCGCCUGUGGAAAACUCGGGGCUUAACCCCGAGCCUGCAGUGGAUACGGGCAGGCUAGAGUUCGGUAGGGGAGACUGGAAAUUCCUGGUGUAGCGGUGAAAUGCGUAGAGAUCCGGCGGAACACCGGUGGUGGAGGCGGCACCUGGGCCGAGGCCGACGCUGGAGGCGCGAGAGCGUGGGGAGCAAACAGG